rnacentral:rRNA from 1 species
GACGAACGCUGGCGGCGCGCUUAACACAUGCAAGUCGAGCGAGAACCGGACCUUCGGGUCCGGGGAAAGCGGCGAACGGGUGAGUAACACGUGGGCAACCCACCCUUGGUACUGGGAUAGCCCGGGGAAACCCGGAUUAAUACCGGAUGGCCCAACAGCUCUUCGGGGCGGUUGGAAAAGGUAGCUUCGGCCUCCGACCAAGGACGGGCCCGCGGCGGAUUAGCUUGUUGGUGGGGUAACGGCCCACCAAGGCGACGAUCCGUAGCUGGUCUGAGAGGACGAUCAGCCACACUGGGACUGAGACACGGCCCAGACUCCUACGGGAGGCAGCAGUGGGGAAUCUUGCGCAAUGGGCGAAAGCCUGACGCAGCGACGCCGCGUGGGGGAAGAAGGCUUUCGGGUUGUAAACCCCUUUCAGGAAGGACGAAGCCACUCGGGUGAAUAGCCCAGAGGGUGACGGUACUUCCAGAAGAAGCCCCGGCUAACUACGUGCCAGCCGCCGCAGUAA